rnacentral:rRNA from 1 species
CAGCAGCCGCGGUAAUACCGGCGGCCCGAGUGGCGGUCACUAUUAUUGGGCUUAAAGCGUCCGUAACCGGGUUGGGAAGUCCUCCGGGAAAUCUGGCCGCUUAACGGUCAGAAUGCCGGAGGAUACUCCCAGCCUAGGGAGCGGGAGAGGCCGAGGGGAUUCCCGGAGUAGGGGGGAAAUCCUAUAAUCCCGGGAGGACCACCUGUGGCGAAGGCGCUCGGCUGGAACGCGUCCGACGGGGAGGGACGAAGGCCAGGGGAGCAAACCGGAUUAGAUACCCGGGUAGUCCUGGCUGUAAACGAUGCGGACUUUGUGUCGGACAAGCUAUGAGCUUGUCCGGUGCCGGAGGGAAACCGUUAAGUCCGCCGCCUGGGGAGUACGGCCGCAAGGCUGAAACUUAAAGGAAUUGGCGGG